GAUAAACGCUAGCGGCAGGCUUAACACAUGCAAGUCGAGGGGCAGCAUAGAUUGUAGCAAUACAAUUGGUGGCGACCGGCGCACGGGUGCGUAACGCGUAUGCAACCUACCCGUCACCGGGGGAUAAUCCGGAGAAAUCUGGUCUAAUACCCCAUAACAUAUCGAUCGGCAUCGGUUCAUGUUGAAAUUUCUGCAGGAUACGGAUGGGCAUGCGUAGCAUUAGCUUGUUGGUGAGGUAACGGCUCACCAAGGCGACGAUGCUUAGGGGGGCUGAGAGGUUUUCCCCCCACACUGGUACUUAGACACGGACCAGACUCCUACGGGAGGCAGCAGUGAGGAAUAUUGGUCAAUGGGCGCAAGCCUGAACCAGCCAUGCCGCGUGCAGGAUGACGGCUCUAUGAGUUGUAAACUGCUUUUGUACGAGGGUAAAGUGGGUUACGUGUAACCUUUUGAAAGUAUCGUACGAAUAAGGAUCGGCUAACUCCGUGCCAGCCGCCGCAGUAA
rnacentral:rRNA from 1 species